ensembl:lncRNA
CACAAGGGAAUGAUUCCUUUCUAACCAUUACCUCUUCUGUUCAUUUUCAAGCCCUUGCCUCUUUCCAUUUCUCUAGGUCCAUCCGGCUUUGAUCAAUCAUGUGAUCAUUUCUUUCUAGUUGGUUUUUGUAGCACCUCAGAACACCCUCCAUCCUUUCACCAAAACUGCAGUGUAAUAGGGUCUAGAUCAAGAUAUUGUGAGCCACAGUGUCUAGAUGGUGGCAACAUGAAUGGUGACAAUCUAUUCUGCAUGUGCAGCUGAAGUUCUCACCAGGAGAGAAAGUAGUAUGGCCUUGAAGGAUACGUCUCCUGAAGACUUCAAGAAAGAGAAAGUGGAGGGGGGAAGCGGUGAGAGAGAGAAGAGAAUAUCUGGAUUCUGACACUGUUUUCAGAAGAGGAGGGAACGAGCCCAGGGGAAGCUGUGGUGUCUGCUACACGAGUGCUGGCUGCCCACCCUCCAGCCUCUACCACUGUCUUUAAGUUUUGAAAAGAUUCACACGAUGAGUCUUACAUAUACUCCUGCCAACUCCUCUGAUCAUCCUUGUGUAUGGCUGCUCUCCAGUUUUUGGAACCUGAAGGCCAUCUUAAUUUCUCAUCAGUCUCCAUUCACAGAUUGCAGGAAAACUUAUUGCUGCAUUAUUCUCCCAAAAAACAUAAUGUUACUUCUGGUCUAAAAUCUUCCUCAACUACUGCU